AUCCAGCUGAUGAGUUUCAAAUAAAACGAAAUGCUCGUACUGCAU
rfam:Schistosoma curassoni strain Dakar, Senegal genome assembly, scaffold: SCTD_scaffold0000964